rnacentral:tRNA from 1 species
AAGAUUUUAAGUUAAAGUAAACUGAAGACUUUCAAGGUCUUUUAUAAAUUAUAUAGUUUAAAUCUUG